CAGAUGUUGUGAAGGCAGAACCGACAAUGAUUGCUGCUGGCUCCUUGUUGUCCAAUGUGAUCGCUAGUGGUGAGCUUUUUUCUGACUAUAUUUGUUAGUCCAAAAUUACUGUAGUCUUAUCUCUGAUUUUUCUAGGACUUGGUGAAAAUGUUGUACCCUCAGUUGACCCUAGGUUGCCGAGUACUCGACCACCUGUUGCUGAGAAGAAGCACGUGCGAUUGCCGCCACGAUCAUCUCGGUAAGUUUUUGAAUCUUUC
rnacentral:lncRNA from 1 species